AUUGAACGCUGGCGGCAUGCCUUACGCAUGCAAGUCGAGCGGCAGCGCGGGGGCAACCCUGGCGGCGAGCGGCGAACGGGUGAGUAAUACAUCGGAACGUGCCCAGUAGUGGGGGAUAACCUCUCGAAAGAGAGGCUAAUACCGCAUACGACCUACGGGUGAAAGCGGGGGACCGCAAGGCCUCGCGCUAUUGGAGCGGCCGAUGUCGGAUUAGCUAGUUGGCGGGGUAAAGGCCCACCAAGGCGACGAUCCGUAGCUGGUCUGAGAGGACGGCCAGCCACACUGGGAACUGAGACACGGUCCCAGACUCCUACGGGGGAGGCAGCAGUGGGGAAUUUUGGACAAUGGGCGCAAGCCUGAUCCAGCCAUGCCGCGUGAGUGAAGAAGGCCUCGGGUUGUAAAGCUCUUUCGGCGGGGACGAAACGGUCCGUGACAACACCACGGACUAAUGACGGUACCCCGCAGAAGAAGCACCGGCUAACUACGUGCCAGCAGCCGCGGUAAUACGUAGGGUGCAGGCGCUAAUCGGAAUUACUGGGCGUAAAGCGUGCGUAGGCGGUUUGUUAAGACAGGUGCGAAAGUCCCCGGGGCUUAACCUGGGGAACUGCGCUUGUUACUGCAGACUUGAGUGUGGCAGAGGGGGGUGGAAUUCCACGUGUAGCAGUGAAAUGCGUAGAGAUGUGGAGGAA
rnacentral:rRNA from 1 species